rnacentral:rRNA from 1 species
AACGAACGCUGGCGGCAGGCUUAACACAUGCAAGUCGAGCGCCCCGCAAGGGGAGCGGCAGACGGGUGAGUAACGCGUGGGAAUCUACCCAUCUCUACGGAAUAACGCAUGGAAACGUGUGCUAAUACCGUAUACGUCCUUCGGGAGAGAGAUUUAUCGGAGAUGGAUGAGCCCGCGUUGGAUUAGCUAGUUGGUGGGGUAAAGGCCUACCAAGGCGACGAUCCAUAGCCGGUCUGAGAGGAUGAUCAGCCACACUGGGACUGAGACACGGCCCAGACUCCUACGGGAGGCAGCAGUGGGGAAUAUUGGACAAUGGGCGCAAGCCUGAUCCAGCCAUGCCGCGUGAGUGAUGAAGGCCCUAGGGUUGUAAAGCUCUUUCACCGGUGAAGAUAAUGACGGUAACCGGAGAAGAAGCCCCGGCUAACUUCGUGCCAGCAGCCGCCGCAGUAA